rnacentral:rRNA from 1 species
UACGGAGGAUGCAAGCGUUAUCCGGAAUGAUUGGGCGUAAAGCGUCCGCAGGUGGCUGUGUAAGUCUGCUGUUAAAGAGUGAGGCUCAACCUCAUAAAAGCAGUGGAAACUACACGGCUAGAGUGCGUUCGGGGCAGAAGGAAUUCCUGGUGUAGCGGUGAAAUGCGUAGAUAUCAGGAAGAACACCGGUGGCGAAAGCGCUCUGCUAGGCCGCAACUGACACUGAGGGACGAAAGCUAGGGGAGCGAAUGGG